GUAGAGGGGGAAUAUAUUCAGCACUAGGGUGUAGGGAAGAACAGAAAAUCAAACAGGGCAUCUACUUAAGAAGAGCAUUAUUCUUUGUCCUUGAGGUUUGGGUUCUGCUACUGUUUCCAGACAAAUUCCAUGUGCCCAUGAGGAGCGCCCCAAACUGUAGGCCUGCAGCCUCCCCAGCCCUCAGGAGCUGCCAGGGCCGCACGGAAGGUGCUGGAAGCAGGCCGGGCCUGGUCCUGCUGCGCUGUGAGGCAGUGCUGUGUGUACAGCCCUCAAAGGCACGAGGACAGAGGGAAACGCGCUGUUCUCCGUAAGGUGCUCUUCAGGACACGGGCACGAAGGAAGUCCCUCUGAGCUGCUGAUCCCACAAAAAUCUGGAUUCUCUGGCUCAUAUUCCAUGAAAAACUUUGAUUAAAAGAAAAAGAUACAACGUACACCACAAACUGUUUCCCCAUGCUUCAGUGGUUACCUUCUUGACUGCAAACUAUUCCCAAGAACUAUGUGAGAAGUGAUGUGCCAUAACAUUGACAUGCCCAGUCUGGGAGCACAGAGCUAACCUGCAGAGCCACAAAACCAAGGCCUUCUUCCAUGGUGUUGUCAACUCUUGCUGGUAGAUGCCACACAGCUACAACAAAAAGCAAAAUCACACACUUUAAAGUGGAAGUUAUUACCUCAUACUGGUGUAAUUCAACAGGAAGCCAGAAAACUUCCUUCAAGGUAGAAGAUUUGGCAUGUGAACUCCAGACAGACUGCACACUCAACUAGCUGCUGCUGCUGGGCAAGGAAACUACAUGGGUGUGGUCCCAGCUAAGCCCAGCCACAUCUCUGCAGGGUGCUGACUGCUCUGGGAGGAGGAAAGCAUGAAACAGGAACAAUAGUUCUGUGUCCUUUGCAUGAGUAACAGAUGUUUUGAAAGAGCUGCAAGAGAUCAAGGGAGCCCUUAUCUGCAUAUGAUGUUCACAAAGGGCCUGCUGGAACAUCCAAGUCCAGUCUGCACUCGUGAAGCACCAGCUCUGCAGACUGUCAGGUGCAUUACAGCUUGUAUGGCUCUAUGGUUCUUCUGUAGACGAUUGCCAUCUGCGCUUAGAGGCAUUAUUAUCUUUCCAACAGAAGCCAAGGCUUCUUCCUUCACCCUUGCAAGUUCAAUGGGGCUUUUUUCCGAGGAACUCAGUUUAGGCCCCAGAUCCUGCAAGCUGAGAUAUUUAUACAGACUAAGCCCAGAGUCUCUGAGGAGCAACUAGGAUUACCAAACCAUUAAAUUUCAGUAAGAUGAGAAUUCUCUAGAUUCUGUGGAUUUUACAGCAGAGUUGCAGACUGACAGGCACUGUCAGCUGGGAGCUAAGCGUGGCUUCUCGUUCUCUGCUACCAGGAUGAGCAAACCUAUUAAACACGGAAUAGAGACUGAACCCAAAACUCAAAACUGAUGGUGUUUUCCGAAAUGGCCACGUACCAGCUGCAGUGCUGUUGGUUCACACAGAAUGGAAGAAUCUGUAUUUUGGUACCUGAAUAGAAACUGGUCAUCUUGGGCUUCUGAGUUUUUUGUUCCCUGUGUUAUAAAUAACUCUUAAUCAGGACAUGGCUUACAGAAAAGCAAGGAGUGAGAAGCUGGAAACAGAGCUCUUUUGGCUUCAGCUAGUGCUAUUAAAAGCCUGGGUGUUUGGAAAUGAACAUUUGGACUGUGCAUUGUAUCAUUGUUCUUCCUUGUAGCCAGUCUCUCUCCUCCCCUCUUGGAAUAAUUUACUUUUUUUUGUUUGUUUGUUUUUUUCAUCCAGGCCCCUCACUUGAAGCAAUGCUGAAUCCCACUUUAAAGAACUCACAGGGGUCUCCAAGUGGUGGUGGUGGGGGAGGGGCAGCUGCUUGUGAAAGGCACAGAGCCUCCAAGCAGAUGUUGCUGCUUCUCCAGCAAUAUGCAUUCAUAUCAGGAAAUGUAUUCCCUUCCUGGCUUCCUCCUUACAAGCAACUGUUAGUGAGUAAGAUGCCUUUGCUCUGUGUUCUGGUCAGUUUGCUAAUCUGAGCUGGUUAGAUGACAAACACAUGUGCAGUACUGCAUACAGGAGUAAUAUAACCCAGCUGGGUAUGAUGCGCUUUUCAGCGAAGCAUGGCUCAGUCUGAAACCUUAUUUGUCUUGUAUUUUAAUGCGGUGUCACCAAGAUAAUUACAAAGCAGAUAGUGUCCUGCUUGGCUUGAGGUGAGCAAACAUUAACAGUUUUUAUUAACCAAACCCAAGAGGUGAAUGCUGACAGAAUGGAAGCUGAAUGGAGUCAAUCAACACGCAUGGAGAAGAUGGGUGUGGCAGUGAGCGACAUGCAGCCUGUUGCUGAAGGCCUGGAUGAAAUCAGCAUCAUUCAGCGGUUGAUACUCUGCAAAAGCUUCAUAGACUCUGUACAAUAUAAGGCGGCUGUGCAGAUGGAAGUUGUUUUAUAUGUACCACAUAAAAAUUUUCUUAGUAAAACAAGCAGCCUCUUGUUGUUCCUUCAUGAAAUAAAAAUGGGCUGGUGCCUGUUUUCCAUUUUUGAC